rnacentral:rRNA from 1 species
UACGUAGGGUGCAAGCGUUAUCCGGAAUUAUUGGGCGUAAAGAGCUCGUAGGCGGUUUGUCGCGUCUGCUGUGAAAACUGGAGGCUCAACCUCCAGCCUGCAGUGGGUACGGGCAGACUAGAGUGCGGUAGGGGAGAUUGGAAUUCCUGGUGUAGCGGUGGAAUGCGCAGAGUAUCAGGAGGAACACCGAUGGCGAAGGCAGAUCUCUGGGCCGUAACUGACGCUGAGGAGCGAAAGCGUGGGGAGCGAACAGGA